AACGAACGCUGGCGGCAGGCUUAACACAUGCAAGUCGAGCGAGACCUUCGGGUCUAGCGGCGGACGGGUGAGUAACGCGUGGGAACGUGCCCUUCUCUACGGAAUAGCCCCGGGAAACUGGGAGUAAUACCGUAUACGCUCUUUGGGGGAAAGAUUUAUCGGAGAAGGAUCGGCCCGCGUUGGAUUAGGUAGUUGGUGGGGUAAUGGCCCACCAAGCCGACGAUCCAUAGCUGGUGUGAGAGGAUGAUCAGCCACACUGGGCCUGAGACACGGCCCAGACUCCUACGGAAAGCAGCAGUGGGGAAUCUUAGACAAUGGGGGCGACCCUGAUCAAGCCAUGCCGCGUGAGAGAUGAAGGCCUUAGGGUUGGAAAGCUCUUUCAGCUGGUAAGAUAAUGACGGUACCAGCAGAAGAAGCCCCGGCUAACUCCGUG
rnacentral:rRNA from 1 species